rfam:Triticum aestivum genome assembly, contig: Triticum_aestivum_CS42_TGACv1_scaffold_406053_5BL
CCCCUGCAGGAUGAUGAGUUGAUCUCCUAUAUCCUUAAUGGAUUGGACAUGGAGU